AACGAACGCUGGCGGCAUGCCUAACACAUGCAAGUCGAACGAGACCUUCGUGUCUAGUGGCGCUCGUGUGCGUAACGCGUGGUAACCUGCCCGUGGGUUCGGAGUCACUCACCGAAAGGUGUGCUAAUACCGGUUAAUGUCUUCCGGCCAAGGAUCUAUCGCCUUUGGAUGGGCCGGCGUUGGAUUAGCUAGUUGGGAAGGUAAAAGCCUACGAAGGCGACGAUCGAUAGCUGGUCUGAGAGGAUGAUCAGCCACACUGGGAGUGAUACCCGGGCCAGACUCCUGCGGGAGGCAGCAGUGGGGAAUAUUGGAGGGUGGGCGAAAGCCUGAUCCAGCACUGCCGCGUGAGUGAUGAAGGCCUUAGGGUUGUAAAGCUCUCUUACCCGGGAUGAUAAUGACAGUAACGGGAGAAUAAGCUCCGGCUAACUUAGUG
rnacentral:rRNA from 1 species